AACGUAGGAGGCGAGCGUUAUCCGGAUUUACUGGGCGUAAAGCGCGUGUAGGCGGUUUCAUAAGUCGUGCGUGAAAGCUCCCUGGCUCAACCGGGAGAGGUCGUGCGAUACUGCGAAACUUGAGUCAGACAGAGGCAAGUAGAAUUCCGGGUGUAGUGGUGAAAUGCGUAGAUAUCCGGAGGAAUACCAGUGGCGAAGGCGACUUGCUGGGUCUGUACUGACGCUCAGACGCGAAAGCAUGGGGAGCGAACGGGG
rnacentral:rRNA from 1 species